UACGUAGGGCGCAAGCGUUGUCCGGAAUUACUGGGCGUAAAGGGUGCGCAGGCGGCGUCGCAAGUCAGGCGUGAAAUCCCCGGGCUUAACCUGGGAACUGCACUUGAAACUACGAUGCUGGAGUAUGGCAGAGGGAGGUGGAAUUCCACGUGUAGCGGUGAAAUGCGUAGAGAUGUGGAGGAACACCGAUGGCGAAGGCAGUCUCCUGGGCCAAUACUGACGCUCAUGCACGAAAGCGUGGGGAGCAAACAGG
rnacentral:rRNA from 1 species